rnacentral:rRNA from 1 species
AGCAGCCGCGGUAAUUCCAGCUCCAAUAGCGUAUAUUAAAGUUGUUGCAGUUAAAAAGCUCGUAGUUGAAUUUCGGAAUCUGUCCAUCGGUCGGGCUUCACUGUCCGUACUGGUGUGGUGGGUUCUUACCUUCUGAAUAACCAGCAUGCCAUUUAUUUGGUGCGCUGGGGAAGCAGGACUAUUACCUUGAAAAAUUUAGAGUGCUCAAAGCAGGCUAGUGCCUGAAUACAUUAGCAUGGAAUAAUAAAAUAGGACGGCAUGGUUCUAUUUUGUUGGUUUCUAGGAUCACCGUAAUGAUUAAUAGGGAUAGUUGGGGGCAUUAGUAUUCAAUUGUCAGAGGUGAAAUUCUUGGAUUUAUUGAAGACUAACUUCUGCGAAAGCAUUUGCCAAGGAUGUUUUCAUUAAUCAAGAACGAAAGUUAGGGGAUCGAAGACGAUCAGAUACCGUCGUAGUCUUAACCAUAAACUAUGCCGACUAGGGAUCGGACGAUGUUAAUUUUUAAUGACUCGUUCGGUCG